rnacentral:rRNA from 1 species
UACAGAGGGGGCAAGCGUUAUUCGGAAUUAUUGGGCGUAAAGGGCGCGUAGGCGGUUUUUUAAGUCGGAUGUGCAAUCCCUGGGCUCAACCCAGGAACUGCAUCCGAGACUGGAAGGCUAGAGUACUGGAGAGGGUGGUGGAAUUCCUCGUGUAGCGGUGGAAUGCGUAGAGAUCGGGAAGAACACCAGUGGCGAAGGCGGUCUGCUGGGCCGUAGCUGACGCUGAGGCGCGACAGCGUGGGGAGCAAACAGG